rnacentral:miRNA from 1 species
GCUCUUUUAAUGUUGUACUACU